rnacentral:piRNA from 1 species
UGGUGAUUUGCAGUUUGAAUCCGCUACUA